rnacentral:rRNA from 1 species
CCUACGGGUGGCAGCAGUGGGGAAUAUUGGACAGUGGGGGCAACCCUGAUCCAGCCAUGCCGCGUGUGUGAAGAAGGCCCUCGGGUUGUAAAGCACUUUCAGUGAGGAAGAACGCCUGGUGGUUAAUACCCAUCAGGAAAGACAUCACUCACAGAAGAAGCACCGGCUAACUCCGUGCCAGCAGCCGCGGUAAUACGGAGGGUGCGAGCGUUAAUCGGAAUUACUGGGCGUAAAGCGCGCGUAGGUGGCUUGAUAAGCCGGUUGUGAAAGCCCCGGGCUCAACCUGGGAACGGCAUCCGGAACUGUCAAGCUAGAGUGCAGGAGAGGAAGGUAGAAUUCCCGGUGUAGCGGUGAAAUGCGUAGAGAUCGGGAGGAAUAGCAGUGGCGAAGGCGGCCUUCUGGACUGACACUGACACUGAGGUGCGAAAGCGUGGGUAGCAAACAGGAUUAGAUACCCUGGUAGUC